rnacentral:tRNA from 1 species
GCACCAUUAGCUCAUUUGGAAGAGCGUCAGAUUUCCAAUCUGAAGGCGGUCGGAUCGUAGCCGACAUGGUGCUCCA